GUCGGUCAGUUGUUGUUUGUUCUAUUUUACAGUUUUAAAUGCAGUAUGAUGUCUGAUGUUCUCAUUUCAUAGUUUCGUGUGCAUAAAUCACUGUUUUAUUGAUUAUGGGUUGAAUGACUGAGAACCCGAUGUUGUAUGUUGGCUUGUUUGGCAUGAAUUACUUGUUGCUUGUUUGUGUGUGAUUUGAUGAUGCUGACUG
rnacentral:lncRNA from 1 species